GAUGAACGCUAGCUACAGGCUUAACACAUGCAAGUCGAGGGACCGGCGCACGGGUGAGUAACACGUAUCCCACCUGCCCUUUACUCGGGGAUAGCCUUUCGAAAGAACGAUUAAUACCCGAUAUAAAGGAUGGGGAUGCGUUCCAUUAGGGUGUUGGUGAGGUAACGGCGAACCAAGCCUUCGAUGGAUAGUGGUUCUGAGAGGAAGGUACCCCGGAUUGGAAAUGCGAGAAGGACCAAAAUGGGACGAGAGGCAGGAGUGAGGAAUAUGGGUGAAGGGGGGCUAGCCUGAACCAGCCAAGUAGCGUGAAGAAUGAAGGGGUAUGGGUCGUAAACUUCUUUUAUAGAAGAAGAUUUCUUAUAUGAAGAAGGAUCGGCUAACUCCGUGCCAGCAGCCGCGGUAAUAC
rnacentral:rRNA from 1 species